rnacentral:rRNA from 1 species
GACGAACGCUGGCGGCGUGCUUAACACAUGCAAGUCGAACGGAAAGGCCCUGCUUUUGUGGGGUGCUCGAGUGGCGAACGGGUGAGUAACACGUGAGUAACCUGCCCUUGACUUUGGGAUAACUUCAGGAAACUGGGGCUAAUACCGGAUAGGAGCUCCUGCUGCAUGGUGGGGGUUGGAAAGUUUCGGCGGUUGGGGAUGGACUCGCGGCUUAUCGGCUUGUUGGUGGGGUAGUGGCUUACCAAGGCUUUGACGGGUAGCCGGCCUGAGAGGGUGACCGGCCACAUUGGGACUGAGAUACGGCCCAGACUCCUACGGGAGGCAGCAGUGGGGAAUAUUGCACAAUGGGCGGAAGCCUGACGCAGCAACGCCGCGUGCGGGAUGACGGCCUUCGGGUUGUAAACCGCUUUCGCCUGUGACGAAGCGUGAGUGACGGUAAUGGGUAAAGAAGCACCGGCUAACUACGUG